rnacentral:rRNA from 1 species
UGGGGGAUAUUGCACAAUGGGCGAAAGCCUGAUGCAGCGACGCCGCGUGGGGGAUGAAGGCUUUCGGGUUGUAAACCUCUUUCGCUAUCGAACAAGGCCCGCUUAGGGUGGGUUGAGGGUAGGUGGAGAAGAAGCGCCGGCUAACUACGUGCCAGCUGCCGCGGUAAUACGUAGGGCGCGAGCGUUGUCCGGAAUUAUUGGGCGUAAAGGGCUUGUAGGCGGCUUGUUGCGCCUGCUGUGAAAACGCGGGGCUUAACUUCGCGCGUGCAGUGGGUACGGGCAGGCUUGAGUGUGGUAGGGGUGACUGGAAUUCCAGGUGUAGCGGUGGAAUGCGCAGAUAUCUGGAGGAACACCGAUGGCGAAGGCAGGUCACUGGGCCAUUACUGACGCUGAGGAGCGAAAGCAUGGGUAGCGAACAGG